rnacentral:rRNA from 1 species
GACGAACGCUGGCGGCGUGCCUAACACAUGCAAGUCGAGCGAGUAGAGUUCUUCGGAACAAAGCUAGCGGCGGACGGGUGAGUAACACGUGGGCAACCUGCCUCAUAGAGGGGAAUAGCCUCCCGAAAGGGAGAUUAAUACCGCAUAAGAUUGUAGCUUCGCAUGAAGUAGCAAUUAAAGGAGCAAUCCGCUAUGAGAUGGGCCCGCGGCGCAUUAGCUAGUUGGUGAGGUAACGGCUCACCAAGGCGACGAUGCGUAGCCGACCUGAGAGGGUGAUCGGCCACAUUGGGACUGAGACACGGCCCAGACUCCUACGGGAGGCAGCAGUGGGGAAUAUUGCACAAUGGGGGAAACCCUGAUGCAGCAACGCCGCGUGAGUGAUGACGGCCUUCGGGUUGUAAAGCUCUGUCUUCAGGGACGAUAAUGACGGUACCUGAGGAGGAAGCCACGGCUAACUACGUGCCAGCCGCCGCAGUAACAC